rnacentral:rRNA from 1 species
GACGACCUUCGGGAGCUUGUACAGGUGCUGCAUGGCUGUCGUCAGCUCGUGUCGUGAGAUGUUGGGUUAAGUCCCGCAACGAGCGCAACCCUUGUCUUUAGUUGCCAUCAUUCAGUUGGGCACUCUAAAGAGACUGCCGGUGUCAAACCGGAGGAAGGUGGGGAUGACGUCAAGUCCUCAUGGCCUUUAUGACCAGGGCUACACACGUACUACAAUGGCCGGUACAAAGGGCAGCCACUUAGCGAUAAGGAGCCAAUCCCGUAAAGCCGGUCUCAGUCCGGAUUGGAGUCUGCAACUCGACUCCAUGAAGUUGGAAUCGCUAGUAAUCGCAGAUCAGCACGCUGCGGUGAAUACGUUCCCGGGCCUU